rnacentral:misc_RNA from 1 species
GUGAAUCAUCAAAUCUUUGAACGCAAAUUGCACUCCCUGGUAUUCCGGGGAGGAUGCCUGUUUGAGGUUCGUUAGAACAAAAAUCGAAGCGGCGCUCUUUUUUUUUAAGGGUGAUCGCGCCGGAAUUGAGCCGUCUUUCAUAUGUUAAUUCAUGGCAAAGUGGCUUGAAAUUCAUCCAUCCGUUACGUUUAAAACGUAUUUAAGAUCAACUUUGAUGAAGAACGCGCGAUGA